rnacentral:rRNA from 1 species
GCGUCUGAUUAGUUAGUUGGUAGGGUAACGGCCUACCAAGGCAGCGAUCAGUAGCCGACCUGAGAGGGUGAUCGGCCACAUUGGAACUGAGACACGGUCCAAACUCAUACGGGAGGCAGCAGUGGGGAAUAUUGCACAAUGGGCGAGAGCCUGAUGCAGCAACGCCGCGUGAAGGAUGAAGGCCUUUGGGUCGUAAACUUCUGUCCUUGGGGAAGAAAAAAAUGACGGUACCCCUGGAGGAAGUCCCGGCUAACUACGUGCCAGCAGCCUCGGUAAUACG